AUGGAUUUCAUCUCAAGUUGAGGCUCAUUUACAGAAGAUGAGCACGUGAUCGGUGGGGGAGGGGAGCAACGGUUAGCGUCUGAUACCAGAGAAAAGCAUCAUCAGUCUCUGUGAAUAAAACGGAUAUUAUCUCAAAUAUAAUCUCGAUUACAGAUUGCAGAUAACGAGGAUAUGAAGAACAUGAAGAUGGACUGGUUUCACAUGCAGAUGUUGCAGUAUCUGCAUCUGAUGUUGAGAAGACACUCAAUCUACCUGCCAAUCCUCAUCUGAUUUUGCUGGGUUAGUGUGUCAUUGCACAUGAUGAAGAAGAAACAUUUACUGAUGGCUGAGAUAUAAAAUUGUUAACAUUGCUGUUGUGCACAAUUGUUAAAAUUGCUUCUUUUUUUUCUUUUUUUUUUUGUGAGUGUCCAGUCAACAUUUUUGACUGCAGUUGCAACAGUGUUUGCUGUGUACUACAUCUUCAACCUGCAGUAUCAAGAGGCUAGAGGUUAGAAUUUUUUCAAAGUUUUUUCAGUUCAUCAUCUGAAACACUGUCAAAUGUGGUUUUAUUCGCAUGCCAGACAC